GACGAACGCUGGCGGCGUGCUUAACACAUGCAAGUGGUGCGACGAACCAGGCUUCGGCCUGGGGCGAAGCCGCGAACGGGUGAGUAACACGUGGGCAAUCUGCCCCUAUUAUCGGGAAAACCAGGGGAAACCCGGGCUAAUAUCGACUGAGGUGGCGAAUCAUGAGAGUCGUCACGAAAGGCAGCUUCGGCGUCCGAGAAGGGAUAAGCGUGCGACCCAUGAGCUUGUUGGUGGGGUAAUGGACUACCAAGGCAACGAUGGGUAGCUUGUCUGAGAGGACGAUCAGCCACACUGGGACUGAGACACGGCCCAGACUCCUACGGGAGGCUGCAGUGGGGAAUCUUGCGCAAUGAGCGACAGCUUGACGCAGCAACGCCGCGUGAGGGAAGAAGGCUUUCGGGUCGUAAACCUCUUUCAGUUAGGACGAAGCUUUAUUGGUUAAUAACCAAUUGGUGUGACGGUACUUUCAGAAGAAGCCCCGGCUAACUACGUGCCAGCAGCCGCGGUAA
rnacentral:rRNA from 1 species